AUUGAACGCUGGCGGCAGGCCUAACACAUGCAAGUCGAGCGGAUGAAGGGAGCUUGCUCCUGGAUUCAGCGGCGGACGGGUGAGUAAUGCCUAGGAAUCUGCCUGGUAGUGGGGGAUAACGUCCGGAAACGGGCGCUAAUACCGCAUACGUCCUGAGGGAGAAAGUGGGGGAUCUUCGGACCUCACGCUAUCAGAUGAGCCUAGGUCGGAUUAGCUAGUUGGUGGGGUAAAGGCCUACCAAGGCGACGAUCCGUAACUGGUCUGAGAGGAUGAUCAGUCACACUGGAACUGAGACACGGUCCAGACUCCUAGGGGAGGCAGCAGUGGGGAAUAUUGGACAAUGGGCGAAAGCCUGAUCCAGCCAGGCCGCGUGUGUGAAGAAGGUCUUCGGAUUGUAAAGCACUUUAAGUGGGGAGAAAGGGCAGUAAGUUAAUACCUUGCUGUUUUGACGUUACCAAAAGAAUAAGCACCGGCUAACUUCGU
rnacentral:rRNA from 1 species